CCCCUCUGCAUUUCUCUCUUCUCCAGACCAGCUCCUCCACUGUGGCUCUGAGUGCCCCGGGGCUGUCCAGCUCUGCUCCGUCCUCAUACUGCUCCCUUCCUCCUUCUCCUCCUCCCAUGCCAUCUGUAUUUCUGCCACCCACCACUAUACCCUCCCCUCGAGGCCAGGGCCACACUCCGGAGUUCCCUUGUACUGAGCAGAGUGGACGAGGCCUUCUACCUCCUGUAGCCCCCAGCUGGCUUGAUUUGGCUGGUCUUGGGGUGAUGCCUGACACCUUCAACUCAAGGUCUCCCUCUGUGGAGGGUUCUCUGUGGGCAGUGGGCACAGAGAGUCAGGGUCGAGAUUGGAGGCACCUGCCGACCAUCACAAGUGAGCUCUCUGGGGCUCCCCGCUGCCACACUGUACCCUGUGCUGGGAGCACAGCUCUCCAAGAGCCUGGGGAGCCCCAGGGGCCACCAGCCAGCCCUUCGUGCCCAGAGGAGGCCUUGGCUGCCACAUGGGAGCAGCCAUGGGCUUCGGAGGUAUUCGGGCCUGAGAGAAUGCCCCCCUCUGGAGCUGCUCGAAGCUUCCAAGAAGUAACAGAGCCAGCUGUAGUGGCAGUGGACCGGCAGGCCAUCUUCCCAGAUACCUGGACUCUCACGGAGGAACAUGGCCUACAGCAGGAGAGGCCAAGGCCAGAGCCAGGGAGGCUGGGAAGCAGCUCCCCUGCCUCAGUUACCACGGAGCAGCUAGGUGCAAAGAUGACCGAGAGGGGAAGUGUGGCCAGGCCAACCCAGGGACCUGAAACCCCAAGGAGCCCAGAGGGCACCACGGAAGCUGCCACCCAGGACGGGAAGGAACAGCCAGAGCUUCCAUGUGCCAUGGCCAUGGGCACACCCAGCACCACGGAGAGGAUUUCCACCUCUGGCCAGGCAGGCACCAGCUCGCAUGGCUGCUGGGCAUGGCCAUUGGCGGGUCUGAGUGUGGGCCGCUCCUCGCUAACUGCAUGCAGCCUCCCACUCUGCGCAUGUCUGCUUGGGCAGAAAAUGCUGAGACACUGUGGCCGGACCUGACAGUCAGCACUUGGCAGUGGGCUCUGUGGACCCAGCAUUUCUCAUAGCGUCAACCCACCUCUUGCCUUGUUGAGGCUUUUUCCUUUCAGAUGAGCUGUCCUUGACAUUCUGAUGUGGUGAAAUGGUUAGCAGCAUGGACUUUGGAACCAGAUAGACCUAGAUACAAACCACAUGUCUAACACUUGCUACCUCUGUGACCUUGGGCAACCCCCUCCCUCAGCCUCAGUUUUCUCAUCUGUAAAGUGGGGAGAAUUUCCAUCAAGAUUGUCCGGAGACCUAAAUGAGAUAAUUCCUGGAAAGUGUUUAGAACACAGCAUGUGGUCCCUCAAUAGGCCGUGGCUGACAGUACUUUUAUUACUUGCUUUUUGCUUAAAUUAAAACUUUAUGCCGGGCCAGGUGUGGUGGCUCACGCCUGUAAUCCCAGCACUUUGGGAGGCCGAGGCGGGCGGAUCACCUGAGGUUGGGAGUUCGAGGCCAGCCUGACCAACAUGGAGAAACCCCAUCUCUACUAAAGAUACAAAAAGAUUAGCUGGGCAUGGUGGCGCAUGCCUGUAAUCCCAGCUACUCAGGAGGCUGAGGCAGGAGAAUCACUUGAACCCAGGACGCAGAGGUUGCGGUGAGCCAAGAUCAUACCAUUGCACUCCAGCCUGGGCAACAAGAGUGAAACUUGGUCUCAAAAAACAAAAACAAAACAACAACAACAACAAAAAACUUUAUGCCUCACCCUGGCACAGUAGCUUAUACCUGUAAUCCUAGCACUUUGGGAGGCUGAGGCAAGAGGAUCGCUUGAGCCCAGGAGUUUGAGACCAGCCUAGGCAACACAGUGAAACCCUGUCUCUACAAAAAAUUAAAGAUUAGCUGGGCGUGGUUGCACAUGCCUAUAGUCCCAGCUGCUGGGGAGGCUAAAGCAGGAGGAUGGCUUUAGCCCAGGAGUUUGAGGCUGCAGUGAGUUGUGAUCGCACCACUGCAUUCAGCCUGAGCAACAGAUCAAGACACUGUCUC
rnacentral:lncRNA from 1 species